AAUUACAUUUAUUUUUUUUUAAAUUUUAUUUAUUUAUGAUAGGCACACAGUGAGAGAGAGAGAAGCAGAGACAUAGGCAGAGGGAGAAGCAGGCUCCAUGCACCGGGAGCCCGACGUGGGAUUCGAUUCAAGGUCUCCAGGAUCGCGCCCCGGGCCAAAGGCAGGCGCCAAACCACUGCGCCACCCAGGGAUCCCGGCAAAUUACAUUUAAAAGGAAAUUCUCAAUGCCAGUUGUGUGCUGACUGCCUGCUGCUUCCCAAAGGACAUCAGAAUGGACCAUGUUUUCUCCUAUUAAUAGAGUGUCAAGAAAGGAUGACAAUCUACAUUUUAUAGAUGAAAAAAGACAUAUGAAUAGAGACACAAAGGAAAACCAUCCUUCAUUCUUCUCUUAAGCCUGAAAGAAAAAUCUGUGAGUACAAAUAAAUAGGGGAUAGAUCAAAUAUUGUAUGAUAAU
rnacentral:lncRNA from 1 species